AGCCAUGUGAUGAACAUAGAGCGAACUAUUCUUUCGCCUUUUACUAAAGAAUACCGUGUGUUCGUUACAAUCAAUGGCAUACUACUAUUUUUGAAGGUUGUUUAAUUUAAUAUAAU
rnacentral:snRNA from 1 species